AUUGAACGCUGGCGGCAGGCCUAACACAUGCAAGUCGAGCGAGCGGCGGGCGGGGGAGUAAGGUUUGGGGAUCUGUCCGUUAGCGGGGCAUCACUACUGGAAACGGUUGCUAAUCAGGCGUACAGUCGGCUGAACGCAUAUGGGAUUAGCUGGUAGGUAAGGUAAUGGCUUACCUGGGCGAGGAUCCCUACCUGGUCUGAGAGGAUGAUCAGCCACACGGGGACUGAGACACGGCCCAGACUCCUACGGGAGGCAGCAGUGGGGAAUAUUGGACAAUGGGCGAAAGCCUGAUGCAGCCAUGCCGCGUGUAUGAAGAAGGCUCUAGGGUUGUAAAGUACUGUCAGUAGGGAGGCGUUACCGACAGAAGAAGCACCGGCUAACUCCGUGCCAGCAGCCGCGGUAAUUC
rnacentral:rRNA from 1 species